CAGAACUUCCACAGACAGACAGACAGACAGACCCAGUCCACAGGGUGGUCGUGUUCUCUUCUCUCCUCCCUCCACCUAGGUGAGCUCCAGGCCUCCCUCUACCCUCUCCAGGCCCAGCCCACACAGUUUAUUGCAUGAAGGAGCUGUUGAGAACAGGAUGAGUGGAACAACAGAGCAUGAUGGGAGCUGUGGACUGAGAACAGUCUAGGUGCUAACUGAGCUGUUACUGGCACACCCAUGAUGAGCUGGGUGCUUCUGGUGCUGCCCGUGCCCCGUGUUCAGUUCCCUCAGCUGGCCAUCUCUCCCAGCCACCCUGCCAGGUCCUGCUCAAGUAGGAUGUGUGACUGGUUUGCUCUACAUUCUACACACAGAAUGGAGCUUAAAGAGCAAACCAGCAAACAACGGCCUAUAUAAUGGGCCGGCCAGCUAGCUCCCCUGGAUAGUGUGUGCCUACUUUGGCAUGUGCAGAAGCCAGUCUGAGCCCAACUUCGGCCUCAGUGGAGGAGACUUCAAUGCUGUGCUAUCUCUCCCGCUGUCUGUUUCUCUAUAUGAGAAAGUGGUGCCGACAUAGUGGCAACAAAAACAAGUAAAUAAGUGAAUAAAUAAGGACAGUGGCAAAUACAGUUGGUAAAUCUGAUCACUCCUUGCAGUGGAAUACGAUGCAGCUGCUAGAAAUCAGUGUUGGGCUGGGGAGAUAGCGUAAUGAUAUACUUAAUGACUUUAAAAAAAUAUUAGUGGUUUAAUAAUGAUUGACAAGGCUAUGGUACAAGAAGGGUACAAUUCCACACAAUUCCCGCCACCAGAGUUUCAUAUCCCCUCCCCCGCCACUGGAAGUGUUUCCUUAUUCUUUAUCCCGCUGGGAGUAUGGACCAAAGAUCUUUAUGGGAAGCAGAAGGUGGAAGGACUGGCUUCUGUAAUUGCUUCUCCACUGGAUAUGGGUGUUGACAAGUCAAUCCAUACCCUCAGCCUGUUUCUAUUUUUCCCUAGUGGGGAAGGGAUCUGGGGAGGUGGGGUUCUAGGACUUAUUGAUGAGGUCGUCUGCCCAGGGAGGUCAGGUUGACUUCAUGGUAGCACCUGCAAGUUGGUGGCUGAAAAGCAUUAAGAUAUAAAGCAGAACAAUUUGUUUAAUAAUCAGGAACACAAAUGUAAAAGUGGAGCAGAUGAAAUUUGGGGUCUUCAUGUUGGAAGGAGCUAGGAAGCCUAUUUUAGGUCUAUUCGAAGGGGCCCAUGACUUUGCUAAUUUUUAAAAAAUAUUUAUUUAUUUUCCCUUUUGUUGCCCUUGUUUUUUUUUUAUUGUUGUAGUUAUUAUUGUUGUUGUUAUUGAUGUCGUUGUCGUUGUUGGAUGGGACAGAGAGAAAUGGAGAGAGGAGGGGAAGACAGAGAGGGGGAGAGAAAGAUAGACACCUGAAGACCUGCUUCACUGCCUGUGAAGAGACUUCCCUGAAGAUGGGGAGCCGGGGGCUGGAACCUGGAUCCUUACGCCAGUCCUUGCACUUUGCGCCACGUACACUUAACCCGCUGCGCUACCGCUCAACUCGUGGACCUUACUAAUUUUUGAUUGAGUCCAACAGCUAACAUGCAGGUGGGCUAGGAGUAUUGUCUGGGAAGCUGUUGUCAAGAGUUGAUGAUAGGACCAGAAAUCCGAAUAAGGGCAGAGAGAAGCUUCCAAAUAUGGGAAAAAUACAUAAAUACUAUUAACUGUAAGCCCCUUUGAUCUGACCUAGGGCCCAUAUCUAUUUAUAUUUAGCACAGGAGCCUGUGUAAACUCUACAUCCCUAUUGGUCUGAGCUCACAUUCCGUGGUAACUGCUAGGAACAUUCUAGGCUGCACUCAUUUCAGGACCCGUCUUCCUCAAGUGGCAGAAUAUGUUGACUCAACCUCCCUUUUGAGAGUGGGGCAGUUUCUACCACUGUUGUUCUUCACUGAGGACAAGGUCCUGUAGAGGCCCACAAGAGGGUUUAUGAGGUUCCUGACGGAGAUGACCAGUGAUGGUGGAGGGAGGGAUCUGUUAGAGGUCUAGGCCCAUCAUAUCUAUGUGGGAAUCCCAGGAUUCCUUGACUAGAGCCCUGGAUGAUGUAGUGACCUGGUAGUGACCAAAAGUGCCAUCAUUAGAGUGUGCUGGUCUCUUGCCCUUAUCCAGCUUUUGUAGUCCUUACUUUAUUUGACAUGUUUGAACUAAGAGUGAUUGAGGGAAGUGAAACAGGGAGUAGGUGAGUAGGGUAACUAAGUAGAAAAUAUUUGAUUAAGUACCUUAUGGUGUCUCUUUUUUAUUUAAUUUGUUAUUUAUAAAAAAGGAAACAUUGACUACACCAUAGGAUAAGAGAGGUACAACUCCACACAAUUCCUACCACCAGAACUCUGUAUCCCAUCCCAUCCCCUGAUAGCUUUCCUAUUUUUUAUCCCUCUGGGAGUAUGGACCCACGGUCAUUGUGGGAUGCAGAAGGCUGAAAGUCUUCUGUAAUUGCUUCCUCACUUUACAUGGGUGUUGACUGGUCCCAGCCUACCUCUCUCUUUCCCUAGUGGGGCAGGGCUCUGGGGAAGUGGAGCUCCAGGACACAUUGGUGGGGUUGUCUGUCCAGGGAAAUCUGGUUGCAUCCUGCUAGCAUCUGGAACCUGGUAGUUGAAAAGAGAGUUCACAUACAAAGCCAAACAAAUUGUUGACCAAUCAUGGACCUAAAGGCUGGAAUAGUGCAGAUGAAAAGUUGGGGGGGUCCUCCAUUUUGUAGAUAGCUAGUAGGCAUAUUUUAGUUAUAUUCCAAAGGGCCUGUAGCUAUACUAGUGCUUUUUUUUUUUCUUUUGCCUGAGUUUGAAAUCUAAUAUGCAGGUGGAUCCUAAUUAUUGUCUGGGGAGGUGGUGUCAUGGCUGGCAGGAGGACUAGAAAGCUGGAUCAGGGAAAAGAAUAGCUCCCAAAUAUGGGAAAAGUAUAUAGAUAUUGCUGACUGUAAUGUUGUCUCUUUUUAUGUCUUUCUACUUGCUUGUUGCAUUUAUUGAGUCACUGUAGAGCAUUGUGUAUUGUAGAGUAUUGUAGAGUAAUGACUUUCAUGCCUGAGUCUCCAGUAUACCAGGUUCAAUACCCAUAAGCCAGGCCUGAGCAGUGUUCUGGUGAGACGAAGGAGGAGGAGAAGGAGAAGGAGAAGGAGGAGGAGGAGGAGGAGGAGGAGGAGGAGGAGGAGGAGGAGGAGGAGGAGGAGAAGAAGAAGAAGAAGAAGAAGAAGAAGAAGAAGAAACAAUGUUUUGUGUUUGUUCAUUUCUAUAUAUAAACAUGAAAAUAAAUCUCUUGAGCAUUU